rnacentral:rRNA from 2 species
AUGAAGUUCUCGGAUCGUAAAGUUCUGUUAUGAGGGAAGAACAAGUGCCGUUUGAAUAAGGCGGCACCUUGACGGUACCUCACGAGAAAGCCCCGGCUAACUACGUGCCAGCAGCCGCGGUAAUACGUAGGGGGCAAGCGUUGUCCGGAAUUAUUGGGCGUAAAGCGCGCGCAGGCGGUCUCUUAAGUCUGAUGUGAAAGCCCACCGGCUCAACCGUGGAGGGUCAUUGGAAUCUGGGAGACUUGAGUGUAAGAGAGGAAAGUGGAAUUCCACGUGUAGCGGUGAAAUGCGUAGAUAUGUGGAGGAACACCAGUGGCGAAGGCGACUUUCUGGCUUACAACUGACGCUGAGGCGCGAAAGCGUGGGGAGCAAACAGGAUUAGAUACCCUGGUAGUCCACGCCGUAAACGAUGAGUGCUAGGUGUUAGGGGUAACGAUACCCUUAGUGCCGAAGUUAACACAUUAAGCACUCCGCCUGGGGAGUACGGCCCGCAAGGCUGAAACUCAAAGGAAUUGACUGGGGGCCCNGCACAAGCAAGUGGAGCCGGUGGUUUAAUUCUGAAUCAAC